rnacentral:rRNA from 1 species
GGGUAGGGGUGAAAGGCUAAUCAAGCUGGGAAAUAGCUCGUACUCCCCGAAAUGCCUUUUGGGGCAGCGUUGUAAUAAAGAGUCUACUGGAGGUAGAGCUACUGAUUGGAUGCGGGGGCUUCACCGCCUACCAAAUCCUGACAAACUCCGAAUGCCAGUAGUAUGAUUUACAGCAGUGAGUGACUGGGUGCUAAUGUCCAGUCGCAAAAGAGGAACAACUCAGACCAGCAACUAAGGUCCCGAAGAAUAUGCUAAGUUGAUCUAACGAUGUUUUGUUGCAGAGACAGCUAGGAUGUUAGCUUGGAAGCAGCUAUUCAUUCAAAGAGUGCGUAACAGCUCACUAGUCGAGCGACAGAGCGUGGAUAAUAAACGGGCAUCAAGCAUAUCACCGAAGUUCUGGGCGCGAGAGCGCGGUAGGGGAGCAUUCCAUUCAGCGUCGAAGCAGUUUCGUGAGGAAUUGUGGAGCGUAUGGAAAAGCAAAUGUAGGCAUGAGUAACGAUAAUGCGGGAGAGUAACCCGCACACCGCAAGACCAAGGUUUCCUGAUCAACGCUAAUCGGAUCAGGGUUAGUCGGGUCCUAAGGGUAAGCCGAACGGCGAUCUCGAUGGAUAAUCGGUUAAUAUUCCGAUACUGACAUAUACCUCGAUGGAGAGACGAAAUCGCGUAAGUACCGCCUCCUGACGGAAUAGGAGGUUAAAGGGCGUAUGUAUAGGGGCAGAUUAAGAGUCAGUCCUUGCUGAAACCCGACAGUACAGAGAGCCUACGGGCAAUUUGAUAGUGUACCCAAGCAUGUUUCCGAGAAAAUCUUCUAAGUUAUAGUAUAUGUCACCCGUACCGUAAACCGACACAGGUGGUCGAGGAGAGUAUCCUAAGGUGCUCGAGUGAAUCACGGUUAAGGAACUAGGCAAAUUAACCCCGUAACUUCGGGAAAAGGGGUCCCUAUGAAAGUAGGGCGCAGCGAAGAGGUCCAGGCGACUGUUUAUCAAAAACACAGGGCUCUGCAAAUUCGAAAGAAGACGUAUAGGGCCUGACACCUGCCCGGUGCUGGAAGGUUAAGAGGGGAUGUCAUCGCAAGAGAAGCAUUGAAUCGAAGCCCCAGUAAACGGCGGCCGUAACUAUAACGGUCCUAAGGUAGCGAAAUUCCUUGUCGGGUAAGUUCCGACCUGCACGAAUGGUGUAACGAUCUGGACACUGUCUCAACCGUGAGCUCGGUGAAAUUGUAGUCCCGGUGAUGAUGCCGGGUACCCGCAACGGGACGAAAAGACCCCGUGAACCUUUACUAUAGCUUAACGCUGAAUUUGGGUACACAAUGUGUAGGAUAGGCCGGAGGCUUUGAAGCGGGCACGCCAGUGUUCGUGGAGCCGACGUUGAAAUACGGCCCUUUGUGUAUUUGAGUUCUAACCCUGCGAAGGGGACACCGUUUGGUGGGUAGUUUGACUGGGGUGGUCGCCUCCAAAAGCGUAACGGAGGCUUCUAAAGGUGCCCUCACGACGAUUGGUAACCGUCGGCAGAGUGUAAUGGCAUAAGGGCGCUUGACUGGGAGACUAACAAGUCGAUCAGGUAGGAAACUAGAGCAUAGUGAUCCGGUGUUUCCGUAUGGAA